AUUUCAAGUAAAAGAAAACCACACAAAACAAAUGGUUUUAGUUAACCACAUGCUCAGUAUGAAUCCCAGGGCCUGCCAAAGAAAUCUAAAGUAAUCAUAGCAGCAUUAAUGGAUGUAUGAAGUUUACAAUAAAAUCGAUAACAAUCCCCUUGUUCUCUUGGUUGGCUAGAGCACAUCUGCUGGUGGGUUCAACAAAAGGGGCUCCCUUUAAAGAAGAAGACUGAGAAGCUGGAAUGAAUCCAGAGGAAAGGAUGAAAAGCACUCGUUUGAUUACUGAGAGGAUAGCUGGAGAAGUGAAGAAUAAUGUGAUGUUCAGCUCAAACUCCUUGGGGGAAUUCGGUUGUGAAAAUGGAAUUACCCAAGUUGGAUUCCGCCCAGGAUGCCAAGCUUAAGUUAUUGGGUAAGUGCACAUUAGAAAAAUGAAUUUUGGCAGCUGCCAAAAUAUUCUCUUUAUGUGAAAGUAAGUGACCUUGGGUUUAGUUUCUGUUAACGGCUGGCUUUUUCUGGCAGAGGCAAGAGAUGGAUACUUUGCAAUGGUUUUGCAAUGACAGCAGCAGUACCAGGAAACUUGCGGGUUGUUACAGUGCAUCCAUUUCUCAGCAUCCAUUAUAGUUAGGAAUGUGAUGGACCAAAUGUGCUUUUUAUUUUGCCAGUGUUUGGACUCUUCAUUUGGAGAAUAACCCAUGAUUGUAGCUGACUAUAUUCCAAGAUUCAUAAGCUUUGGCGCCUGAAUCAGAUACCUAUGGAGGAAAAAGAAGCAAUUUAUUCAUUCCUUUCUUUUUUUUCCUCUCCCAUUUAACUGUCCCAAAUGUCAGUGAAUGAGUCAAAUGUUCAAUAUUUUUCCACAGGGGCUGACUUUGGAGAAGCCAGUACAGUCCAUCAUACUGUUUUCUCAACUAGUUCAUCGUGACAUUCUGAGAUUUUGAAAGGACACCUUUUCCGUGUCAAGCCGUCCCAGGGUGGCUAAUAUGCCUUUGCUCAUUUUUGACAAGACAGAGGGAGGACAGGGUGACAACACAGCAGGAUAAAAGGGGAGAGAGUGGCUGGAUGCUGGCUGUUUAUGCGUGGAUGUUGAGAGUGGAAAAUGCAGAUGGAACUGAGGGUAAGAUGCCAGGGAGUUGCAAGAGGGCUCCUUCUCUGAAUAACCUCAUAUUCCAGAAAACUCAUAAAAUUGGAAAAUAGUUUUAAACAGUGGAAGCCUUCUCUGAGGCAUUUAUAUUCCCUGUUAAUAAGGUCACAAAUAAUCACCUUUAUUAUCAAUCCAAAUAAAGUAUAUGAUGCUGCUCAUGGUAGGAUUGGGAGAGAACCACCCCAAAAUACCUCCCCAACUAGCCUAGUAAGGUGCCUACAGGUUCUACCCAUACUCUUUCUUUGAGUAAAAGCACUAGCUUUCAAAUAUCCUGAGAAAAUGCUGGUAUUUUAACUGGGAGAAGAAGAUCAAUGGACAGGGACAGGGUUGGUUUAUUUAGCUGUCUGCUAAGAGUGCAAGAGAUUUGCGAUGGACUGAAUGUUUAUGUCUCUCCCAAAUUCAUGUAUUGAAAUCCUAAUCCCAAGGUGGAGUAUUAGGAGGUGGGGCCGGUGCACAACAGCAAGUGCUCUCACAGUGGAGAGCUCUGGGAAGGCAAAAACAUCCAUGUGUUUGGAGGACCCAGCAAAUGAGCCAGCAGAUUCAUGCCAACAUAGACAUGUGUGAGCUACUUAAUGGUUGUGGCUUCACUACUUCCCUCCAACUUUCACACAAUAUCUCCUGUGGUCCACACUAAUGGGAAACACGCAGCAAAGGGAAUUCUGGGAAAUGCAGUUCAGCCUCAUCAAGUUGACACCCAUCAAGCCACCAUACCAGGUCAGUUGAUUCCAGGAUGUGUGGCCUUUCCAUGACAACACAUUGCCCCUCCUCAAAUGGCUCUGUCCAUUGCUUGCUCAAUCUUUACACCCAAGAAAGGCAUUCUUCCUAGGUCAGCUCAGUUUAAGUAUUGAUACCACAGGCCUGGAACAGGGCAAGGCACGGUGGAGAAGGAUCAAGAGGUGAGCAUCAUCCUGAGGAGACCCUACAACAAUUAAACUGCAGUUGGAAAGAAAAAGAGUCUCAUCCUUGGGGUGAGCAUAGUAAGGGUGAGGCACUUGGUCUUCCACAUAUCCCUGGCCCCCAGUACCACUUUCUCCCAUAGCCCCAGGUACAGCUGUGCCGUCUCUGUACUGCACUAAAGUGUCCAGCCGAGGGGGAGGGAAGACAGUGGGCUGAAUUAUAGCCCUGCCUUUCUCCCCAGUCUCAGAGAUGUUUCAGCCCAGAGGAAUAAAAGCUUUUUUCCCAAUCCAUGGGCCUGAAGGAGCCACCUUUUUAUAAUUUGCACAAAGGCAUUAGAGGUAUAACUGUGCCCCUUGAAUCAUCUGCCUAUAGCUGUCUGACAUAAUAAAAAAUAUAUAUUUGGUCUUUUACCCCAGUUCCUGACACAUGGGUCUUAAAACCCUCAUCAUUUCCUGAAUGAUAGGAGUAAGAGGAGCACCAUUUGUUAUAUUUGGUCUUAUUCUCUGUUCCCUGGCACAAGAGCUUUUAAGAACCUUGGAAUCUCCAGAGUGAUGACUGUCUUUUUUAUGCUAAUGAGAUGACUAGUACCUGGGGUCCCUAGCCAGCUUCAGGAUGAGGGCUGGUCACCUGAAAGACCAAGCCUUGAUGACAGGGUUAGAACUUUCAGCCAUAUCUCCCUUCCCCAUUCCCCACCUCAACUUCCUGGGAGGGGAGAGGGGCUGGAGAGUGAGUCAAUCACUAACAGCCAGUGAUUGAACCAACCAUAUCUACACAAUGAACCCCCCAUAAAAACCCUAAACAACGGGGUUCAGAGAGCUCCUGGGUUGGUGGACACAUUCACGUGUUGGGAGGGUGGUGCACCCCAACUCCAUGGGGACAGAAGCUCCUGUACUUGGUACCCUUUUGGACCUCCCUCCAGGUACUGCAUUGUCUGUGUGCUCAUUUGUAUUCCUUAUACUCUCCUUUGUAAUAAACUAGUAAUGGUAGAAUGUUUCUGAGUUCUGUGAGCCACUGCAGAAAAUUAUGAAAGCUUAGGGGAUUGUGAGAGCCCCUGAUCUGUAGGCAAGCCGGAAGUUAUGGGUCACCUGGAGACCCACUACUUGCAAUUGGCAAAUGAAGUGGGGGCAGUCUUGUGGGACUGAGUCCUUAAUCUGUGGGGCUUGUGUUAACUGUCAGCACAAGCUAACCAGUGUCAUAAUUGAAGUAAAGUGGACAUCCAGCACCCAGUUGGUGUCCCCAGAGAAUUGGAGAAUUGCUCAGUAUGACCCACACAUUUGGCAUCAGAAGUGUGAAUAGAGAAAAGGGUUUGUUGUUGUUGUUUGUUUGUUUUUCAUUUGAGAAAGCCAAGCCAGGACAGUUUGCCCAGACUUCAGAGACUGCCUUCAGGCUAGCUCAGCUGCUGGUCUACCUGGCUUAAGCCUGAGAGGACCUCCAUGUGAGGAAAGUCGGAGCAGAGAUGAAAAACCAAACAACUAGUUUUACACUGGUCCUCCCAAAGCAUCAGGACAAUGCCACCUUUGUCAGGGCUUUGAAAAGAAAAUAAAUAAUUGUUAACAGGAUCACAUACUUGGUAUUGUGCUGAGGAUGUUAUAUGAAUUAUUCAUUCAAUAAGUGUUUAUUGAUGACCUACUAUAUGCCAGAAAAUAUUCCAGGUGCUGAGGAUAUAGAAGAAAACAGACAAAAAUCCCUGCCCUCAUGGAAUUUACAUUCCAAAGGGAGAAAGAUCAAAUCCGGGCUACAGAUUCCGUUGGUAUUGCUCUUUGGGUCCUGAGUCCCCCAUUGCCUACCUGGGCUGCCCAGGCUGUCAGGGGCCUGCCAUUCUCUCCUUGCAGAUGCACAGUACCUGCAGAGGAUGUACAACGGUGAGCAGGGCAAAUGGGCAAACAGAUGUCAUGGCUCCACAGUACUCGGGGCUGCAAGCUGUGUGGCUGAGGGCUGUUCCUGCCUCGUCCUGUCAACUCAGAGAACCUUCUCCCAGCCAAAGUUAUAAAUUCUUUUCUAGGAAUUUCUCAGCCCUGGAUUUCCCCUUUUGCUUUUUAGUUUCUCAUCCUGAGUUGGCUCAGUCUCUUCUUCAGACUUGCCUAAAAACUCCCCUUUUAGUGUUGAGCCUUGAAUAAAUUUUUGUCUGCUGCCACGGCUGAGUCACUGCCUAGGUGCUGUGUCCAUACUGUCUCUAGAAGGCUGCCUGGCCCUGGGGCUGAGAGGAAGCAGCGUCCAGCCAGACACCCACACUUUCAGACAGAGCCGCUUCUGAGAAGCAGUGGGAGUAUACUCCUUCUACUUAUUAAAAAAGGUUAACUGUAAAGCAGCCUCAGGAAGGUCCUUCGGGAGGUAUUCUAGAAGAAGGCAUUGUUCUCAUAGGAGAUGACAGCUCCAUGUGUGUUACUGCCCCUGAAGACCUUCCAGUGGGACAAGAUGUGGAGAUGGAAGACAGUGAUAUUGAUGAUCCUGAUUGUGGGGAGGCCUAGGCUAAUGUGUGUGUUUGUGUUUUAGUUUAAAAAGAAAAAAAAAUAGAAAAAGGUUUUAAAGAACAAAGAUAUAAAUAUUUUUGUACAGUUGUACAAUAUAUUUGUACUUUAAGUGUUAUUAUAAAAGAGACAAAAUGUUAAAAAAAUUAAAAAACGUUUAAAGUUAAAAAGUUACGGUAAACUAAGGCUAA
rnacentral:lncRNA from 1 species